rnacentral:rRNA from 1 species
AUUGAACGCUGGCGGCAGGCCUAACACAUGCAAGUCGAGCGGGGUUUUCGGACCUAGCGGCGGACGGGUGAGUAAUGCGUAGGAAGCUACCCGAUAGAGGGGGAUACCAGUUGGAAACGACUGUUAAUACCGCAUAAUGUCUACGGACCAAAGUGUGGGACCUUCGGGCCACAUGCUAUCGGAUGCGCCUACGUGGGAUUAGCUAGUUGGUGAGGAAAUGGCUCACCAAGGCGACGAUCCCUAGCUGGUUUGAGAGGAUGAUCAGGCACACUGGAACUGAGACACGGUCCAGACUCCUACGGGAGGCAGCAGUGGGGAAUAUUGGACAAUGGGCGCAAGCCUGAUCCAGCCAUGCCGGGUGUGUGAAGAAGGCCUUCGGGUUGUAAAGCACUUUCAGUAGGGAGGAAGCGUUGUGUGUUAAUAGUACACAGCGUUGACGUUACCUACAGAAGAAGCACCGGCUAACUCUGUGCCAGCCGCCGCCGUAAGAC